rnacentral:rRNA from 1 species
UACGUAGGUGGCAAGCGUUGUCCGGAUUUACUGGGCGUAAAGGGCGCGCAGGCGGCUCAUUUUGUCAGGCGUGAAAGCCCCGGGCUUAACCUGGGAACUGCGUUUGAUACGGAUGGGCUAGAGUUCGGGAGAGGAGAGUGGAAUUCCCAGUGUAGAGGUGAAAUUCGUAGAUAUUGGGAAGAACACCGGUGGCGAAGGCGGCUCUCUGGACCGAGACUGACGCUGAGGCGCGAAAGCGUGGGGAGCAAACAGGG